rnacentral:lncRNA from 1 species
GGCACUUUACUAUUUCUUGUACAAGUUAAAAAGAUAAAUAUCAAUUAACUAACCUGAACCUCGAAAAUAUAGGUUUCAUUUUUCACAUGCUUGGGCCAUAAUACAUUCAAGUGUCUAUACUUUUCUCUUUUUUAUCUUUCCAGUAUCUGUUUGAAAUCAGUAAGCUUAGCUUCUGCAGCAACAAAUAUUUCCUGAGAAGUUGCCUCAACUUGUAUGGCGGUCUUGACUUGUGUUUCUAAGUGAUGCUCAUCAAAAGAGAAAAUCAAGCUCUAAACCCUCUUCAGUAUUUUUUUAAUUCGUUUCAAGAUUAAAAAAGAUAAAGAGGAAAUAGAUCGGGUAAUGCUUUAGACGGUUAUGUAACCUUUAACCAAAAAGUUUCCUACCUAUGCAAAUCAAAAAAUGACCUUCAACUAAAAGUCACUCAAAGUUAACUUUCAAUUAAAAAAACAACAAAAACUUAUUAGUACACUAAUAUUAUGGGUUAUAAUAAUGUAAAUAUACCGAACUACAAUACUUUGACAAUCUUUGUUUGUGUUACAACCUUCUACUAUUGUGGGUUACAGAAUCAGAAAAAAAAAUACCAAAAAUUAUGGGUAAUUUGAUUUGGAACCAAAAGAACUGGAAAAGAACCAAAAAGACCCGGUUUGGUAAAAAAAAAUUAGGGUUUUUUUUGGUAAUUUUUUUAAACUUAGAGGUGGUUUUAAUCCUUUAUAUGGCAGCCACGAACACACUUCAUAAGAUCUUUAAUUUGGUCUAUGCAUUUGAUAACCUAUAUAUGUGAUUACAGAUUCAAAUGUUUUAAUUCAUAGAUUGUAAAAUAGUAUAAUACCCCUGUUGGUUUUUGUUNUUUUUUUUUUAAUGAUUUUUAAUAUAAAAAAAAAAAAAAAAAAAAAAAAAAAAAUAGUACAAUAAAGUAGGCAUUUUGACAAACACCUUAAAGGCAAUACACAGAACUAAUGAGAACCCUUGUCGUUUCUGGAUUGUUUUCUGAACAUUUUUCUAUUCUAUCUAUAUACCAAAAUCAAACACUCUGUAACUUAACAAUUUUAGUUUUCAUCCAAAUAAGCAGCCCAAUCUAGCUUUUACAAACACAGUUACGAUUUGCCUCAAAGUAAACUCACAACAAUAAAUAGAAGUGAAAUCUAUUUGGUUUCCCUUUCAGGUUGAAAUUCAGACUCGUUUUGAGGAUUCUAUUAACCACCUUAUUUCAAAUUACACAGCAAACAAUCAAGAAUUAGAAAUGUAUGAAAAAAGAAAGGAAACACAAACGUUAAAGAAGAUUUGUAGAAUGAAGCAGCUGAAAUACAAACCUUUUCUUAGGCCUAACCUCUUUCUUGUGAAGAUUCCUUUGUUCCAGCAGUGAUAAAUGCGAUUCAACUGAUCAAAUUGAAAUAAAACGCCUGUCAAACUGAGAAGGCAAUGUCAAAUCAGAGAGAGGGAUAGAAAUUUAUUGAGAAAACCCAUCUGUCGUUAUCCCUUUCUUGCUCCUCUCAUCCCAUAGAAAUCAUAAAUUGAGAUUGAAAGAGGCGGUUCAAUGUUGAAAUCUUUUGACUAAUUUUAGAAUAUUGCUCAGAGGAUCGACGUUACCGAUGGCUGAGAAGGUCAAGGUUACCGAACUUAGCAACGUCGUCGACAAAGUUGUUGGGUAUAGCGAUGCGCCUUGCAGAAAACCGUCGACGGUGGGGUACGAUAGGGGUGAAGCAGGUGUGAAGGUGGUCGUGUGGUGUUAGUCGAGACGGCGACGACGAUCGAUGAUCUCUUUCCAGUUGCAUAUAUCAUGGUGGAGAAGGGGGAAAGCGCUCCAAUAGAAGGACAAAACAUAUUAAAGCGGUGGUGAGGUGAUGUCACAAACGCAAAU